UACGGGGGGGGCAAGCGUUGUUCGGAAUUACUGGGCGUAAAGGGCGCGUAGGCGGCCUGUUAAGUCGAACGUGAAAUCCCCGGGCUCAACCCGGGAACUGCGUCCGAUACUGGCAGGCUUGAAUCCGGGAGAGGGAUGUGGAAUUCCAGGUGUAGCGGUGAAAUGCGUAGAUAUCAGGAGGAACACCGGUGGCGAAGGCGGCUCUCUGGUACGUGACUGACGCUGAGACGCGAAAGCGUGGGGAGCAAACAGG
rnacentral:rRNA from 1 species